CCAUACUGCUGUUCAUCACCAAAAGAGGUCAGGACUGGAGCUCCACCCAGGGCAGGAACCUGGAGGCAGGAGCUGAUGCAGAGGCCAUGGAGGGGCAUUGUUGACUGGCUUGCUCUUCAAGCAUGGGGCCUGCUGGGACUCGUCUCCUGCUAUGCUUCAGCUCCUGCCCAAUCACUUACCUGUGCCAGGAGAAGCCUCUGGACAUGCCUGGGCAGCCUCUGGACAUGCACUGCUCCCAUUCCUCGCUGAGAGGGCAUCUCCCCGAGUGCCUCUCCAUCCCAGUAGACUCUCCAGAUGUGCCCAGUCCUCAACUGGUGUGGCCUCACCAGAGAGACUCAGACCAAACAGGCCUCCACAGCCUCUCUCUAGACACUUUCUGGGAAACCACAGUGGAAUACAAAAGGUCCUCAUUUGCCCUGAACCCUGGGAAGCCCUGUGGCAUUGGUUCAUGAGUGCUGUGGUUGGUUAUUUGGAACUUAAUUCUCUUGGUAUUUGCCACUUCCCAGUUGUCCCCUUUACUGUUCACAGUCCCCACCUAUAAUCCUCGGCUUCCUGGCACUUCCGGAGCCCAUAUUAACGUACCAAUUUUUUGUACCCCAUUUAGGGCACCAACUGUUCUGAUCUCUUGAAGAGCUCCUCAGGCAACCUUCUGUUUCUAGCAAGAUGAUACACCCAAGCCUUGAUGACAAGGCUUGGCUCUCAACCUCCUUGCUCCCCACCUCCUGUGAAAUACACAAAGAAAUUCAGUGAUCAUCGGGGAUGCUCUGGUCCAAACACUACCUGCCAGCCAGACGCAGGAGAUGGAUGGCUCAGCAGUAAUCGUGCUGCUUGAGCUUGGUGUCUAAUGGGGACAGUAGUGACAGGAAGUUCACAGGGACUGGAAGACAUGAGUUCUCUGAGGGAAAGGAAGGUGAAGCCUGGUGCUUAGGACCCUCAGGAGACCAUAGGAUGUGAGAAGGCUCAAGACACCCAGAGGUGGGGUCAGAAACAGGGCAAAGGAGACCAAGCAUGGGAGAGCUGCAGUGGACGUGUACAGACAGGAGAAGCAGGCCCUAAAGAAUCCCUGAGGCGGCAGAGAGGCUGGGCUGUGGAACUUUUUAAUUACUUUGCAUUAGGGGACUGUAGAGACCCAGAAGCCCACCCUUCCCCUCCCCUCAUCAGCUUAGCCCCAACAUAUGGUGGCUACCAAAGUAGUUAAAUCGGCUCUUGGUAGAAAAGGAAAGAGAUUCCUCCCAGGCUCUUCCCAGGGUCCACGGCCACACUCCAGGAGGGCUCAACUCCAGGGCAAGGCAGCUGGGACAGCAGGCAGCUGAAGGAGGACUAUUACUGCACCUUAGGGAAGAGUGCAGUGGCGAGUGGGGAGGACUCUGCUGGGACCCGGGGGUCAUGUGCAUUCCCAUUUAGUUGAGCUCUGCUUAAUCCGGGCCUAGGCUCACAGUAAUGGGGAACGAGGAGAGGCUCCCAUCAGAGACCAAGAAGAUGACAGACUCUCUGUAAAGGCUGUCAGAGGGGUCUGCAUGACCAACCACACCUGCUCCUGUUCCUUUGGGGCUCUUGUGACCUCCCUGUCUUCUUGUGAGAUCUUAUGUUCCUCCAACCCUGAGAGCUACAAACCAAUCUCCGGAAUAAAAAAA
rnacentral:lncRNA from 1 species